UACGAAGGGGGCUAGCGUUGUUCGGAUUUACUGGGCGUAAAGCGCACGUAGGCGGAUUGUUAAGUCAGGGGUGAAAUCCCGGAGCUCAACUCCGGAACUGCCUUUGAUACUGGCAAUCUAGAGUCCGGAAGAGGUGAGUGGAACUCCUAGUGUAGAGGUGGAAUUCGUAGAUAUUAGGAAGAACACCAGUGGCGAAGGCGGCUCACCUGGUCCGGUACUGACGCUGAGGUGCGAAAGCGUGGGGAGCAAACAGGG
rnacentral:rRNA from 1 species